rnacentral:hammerhead_ribozyme from 1 species
AUCCAGCUGACGGGUUGCAAAUAGGACGAAACGCGUGUCCUGGAU